rnacentral:ncRNA from 1 species
CCACUACGACAGGGGAGCGCCCCGUCGCCGCGGGCCCGGCCCGUCGUCGGCACCGGCGCUGAGAGUGCGGGCGACCGCAGACCCUCGAACCUGCUCCGGUUAGCACCGGCGAAGGAAGUCGAGAUCUCCCCGGG